AACUGGAAAAAAACGGCCGCCAUUUUGUGAAAUUAUCUAUUUAUGUAAAUAUUAAAAACUGAUUAUUCUUCAAAUGGAUCAUGAUAUCUGGUCUCUGAUAUGUCAAUGAUCAAAAAUACUCACUCUCAACGUUGAAAGACCAGUAUUUCAAUGUGGAUGUCAAAGGAUUUUAGUAGAGUCUUCACACACAUGUGCUUUCAGCUAUUGUCACUGGGAAGCACUCGCCAGGAAUUGGUUGUGCCGCAAACCGGAAGUGACGUCAAAAACGGUGGAAUUGAAGGUAACAUGACCAAUAGCAUUCAUAGUGGUAACUCCAUGAAUUGCAAGCAAAUUAUAAUAUACUAAAUGCCCGUAAAGGCAGUGUAUUAUAAUAAAAAGAACAUUAUAAAUCUGUUUAUAGACUAUUUUAAGAAAAUAUUUUAUUUUUUAACUCAUUACACCCGAAAUGUAUUUAUCUAUUUAAGAGUAAAGUUAGAGUGGUAUAUAUUAAAGUAAAUACAGGUAUUAUUUCUAUUGUGUUCUCAAAAACUCUAAUAUUUUAAGAGUGAAUAUAAGCGGAUAUUUAAACGCCUUCACUCAGUAGAAUUGGUCCGACUAAGGUUUUAAGUGUAAAUCUAUUAAAUGAUCAAGUUAUUUUAGAAGUAUAAGUAAGGAGGUUCUAAAAGGAUUUAAUCCAAAGGUUAUAUUAAGGGUCCAGUGACCGACUAAUUAAUCGCUCUCUUUAGAAAUAGGGUGAGGAUAGAGAGAGAGGGAGAGAAAGAGGUGUAUCCCUAAUGGGGUACUGGUUAGAGAAAUUCAGAGGCAAGGAUGUGGUCAGUGACUACGUCUCACUCCCCCCAGCCGGUCUAGUCUUCUCGUACGUAACCCGCUACCUCGUGCGACCGGACCCGGGACGGCCGAGGAAGGGGUAAGGGUUUAAAGGUUAAAAGUAGAGAAUAAAGGAGGUGGACUGUUUUUAAAUGUAAGAAAUAAGGACAAAGUUAAAAUGGUACACUCAUAAGUAAAUAAUCUCAGUUGUUCAGGAAUAUUUUGAUAAGAGCUUCAUGAUAGUAAAUCACUCCUGCAAUCUUAAUCAAAACCAAUUAAUUGAUAAGUGUUGGUAAAGAAAACGAGCGACCCAGUCAAAAUACCACGGGUCAGUGUAAGUCCCCCGUUUCUCCAGGCUCCGGCUGGGUUAGGUUAGGUAAAAGCCACCAGAUCUCCCCAUGUCGCCCGACGACUUCAUGGUUAUACGGAGAUCCAAGGAAAGGCACGCGCACUAGAGGACGUGUCGGCCUUACCCUAGCAUAGCAUUAUGACUGGACCAUAAAGAAUAAAGUGUGUAAAAGUAGACAGGAUAAUUUAAGCUUGAAGGACAGAGACACGGAGGAGGGUAGCUGUGUUGACGGCGGAUGCCUCCUCUUGCCGCAAUGGCCGUAUCUGUUUUUAGACCCGUUUCCUUUCGUUAUCCCCUGACGGGGCUCGUACCAGAAAGGGGUCGGAAAAAGAGCAGAAUGAGGGGGGAGAAUGUGGUUUAGGUUUAGGCAAGGAAGCCAAAGUGGUUGAGAUUAGUGGUCAAACUGAGGGAAAGAUGGUCGCUGAAUUAAUGGAUAUUGAUUUUAGGAUUAGGCAAAAGGCCGGAGUGGUUAGGAUUAGUGGUCAAACUGAGGGAAAGAUGGUCCAU